rnacentral:rRNA from 1 species
GACAGAGGGGGCAAGCGUUGCUCGGAAUUACUGGGCGUAAAGGGCUCGUAGGUGGCCAACUAAGUCGGACGUGAAAUCCCUCAGCUUAACUGGGGAACUGCGUCCGAUACUGGAUGGCUUGAGUUUGGGAGAGGGACGCGGAAUUCCAGGUGUAGCGGUGAAAUGCGUAGAUAUCUGGAGGAACACCGGUGGCGAAGGCGGCGUCCUGGACCAAUACUGACACUGAACAGCGAAAGCCAGGGGAGCAAACGGG